ensembl:lncRNA novel transcript
CUUUCAUGUCUCAUGAAAACUGUUCUCCUGGCCAAAUUGAACGAAUGCAGCUCUCUGGACUCAGAGAGGAUUGAAUGGGCAAUUAAUCAGGAGGGUGCCAGUCUCCCAGGAGAACCAGCAAAUAUCACUGAAUUACGCUGCUCAUAUUCCUGGACUCUGCUGAAGAACAAUCUCCUCCAGGAAGCGCCUUCUGAUUGCCUGGCCCACCUUCUGCCCAGGCUAACACGGAUGCCACUGCUAUCUGGCCACACUUCUAUCAAAACAUGCAAGCUGUUCUCCUUCCACUGCUCUUCAGCUCUGCCUCUGGAACCUCACUUUGAAUCCCUUGGGACAACAAAGUCAGACUGGCUGGACUCACAUCUGGCUCCACCAUUGACCAGCUGGGUGGCUGUGGGCAAAUUACUUACAUUCAACGUGCCUCAGUCUUCUCACCUGCAAAAUGGGUAUAAAAUAGUUCUCAUUCAUGCUAAUGAAAUGAGAUAAUCCAGGCAAAGAGCUUAUAAUGGUUUUUAAAAAAAUGUUCAAUUAUU